rnacentral:lncRNA from 1 species
GUGGCCUUCAUGGUGAACAAAACACAUGACCCCGAGUACCCGAGGCGGAAGGUGUCCGGCAUCAGUGCUCAGAAAGUUGUUCCACCUUCCACCAAGGUAAGGGCUUUUCACUUCUCUGAGGAAAAAGAAAAAGCAAAAAAAAAAAAAACAAAAUAUAUAUAUAUAUAUAUAUAGCUUCAUUCCCUAGCUUUUCAAUCAAAUUCAACUCUGAAAGUCCAAAUCUGUGGAUACUUAGGGUUUUCCUGGGUUGGGUGACUGUUGACUGAUUGUCUGUCCCAGUGAAUGACUGAUUUAAAAAAGGACCUUUAAAAGCGGACAGCAGUAGUUUUGUAUGUGUAAGUGUGGUCGGGAGCAUGGUUAGUAGCAGAGACUCGCCCUCCUUGAAGGAGACUUUGGCAGCUGUGGGUCAGAGUGCACGUAAGAGUUUUUCCAGGAAAAUUCGAAGGCUUUCUCCAAGAUGACCUCUGUGUUUUUCCUUUGGGACCUGGGACUAAAGGAAUUUUACAUUUGGGUUUUCUGUGGACAGACAGACAAUGAAAAACCUUUGAGUCUGUAGAGCGCGGGAGGCUUAGAUGCUGUCACUAAGAAUGUGCUUUUCUCUAGAUGCUGGAUGAGGAGGACACUGACAAAGACGGGAUGAGUUUGGAGGUCGACACUCCAGUGACGAACCAUCGGGGUGACGACGACGAUGACGAAGAAGAUCUCCCCGAGAUAGUGCUGGAUGACGUGCCUGCGGUGAGGGUGGCGGGACGGCCUCCAUUCGCUCCGCGGGUAAGUUGGGUUUUUAGUCUGAGCUCGCAGUGUUGCUCUAUUUCCCCUCCGUGGACAUUAAGUUAUGACAGCCUGAGCCUGCACGUUCCAGACCAUGUGGACGGUUCCGAGGGUUGGGACUCCAUGUCAGGCGCGUCUGUUGCCAACUCCCGAUGCCUGCUUCCGCAGGGCAAUGCGAUAACAACACCUGUCCCAGCCUGCAGAGGACAGAGCUCCUUCUCCAGAAGCAUCUUUUCCUCGAGGGAAAGAGUUCUGUCAUCUCCAACUGACAUGGCCUUGGACAUCCCGUCGUCUAGGACAAGUUCUUGCCUUUGUCCCCGAGGAGGGUUUGCUCUGCCUUUGCUGGGUUCUCUG